UUUGAGGGCUGAGGGGAAAAUGUCUGUCUUAUGUGUUUGGAACGCAAAAAGGGUUUUCCAAAAAGGGUCAAGUUUAUCAUUAGAGCCUUUGUAGGAGCAUCGUUAAAUCUCCGAGCUGUUUCCCCAAACCAUUGCACUUGAACAAGCUCUUAAUCUAACGCCUGACACAGACCACUUGUAGAAAAGGUAACAUUAAGUGCUUUUUUUUGGCCUAAAAAUAGAAUUACAUGAUUUUUCUGUGACCGAGGAUAACUUCCAAACAAAGUCGACUACAAAUACAAAGUUGUCAAUGUUUUUGCAACUGAUCCAAACAGGGAUGUAUAUAGAAAGACCAGAUUCAAAUUCAUUUGUAGAAUUAGGUUAGCUAGCUAACAUUGCCAUUAAAUCACCUUACAAGCUUUGACACUUUCAUGGGUUUGGAGUAAUAACAUGUUCAUCUACUUAAGACACUGGCUCGAAUAUAGGUUGUGUCUUUAGAUUAUUAUUUUUUUAAACGAAGGGCGAAUGUUUAACUUCCCAAACCCUGGCCUGGUCUGCUUGGCAAGCGUUUCCAGAAGUCUGGAGAUGUUACGCCUCGGUUUAGAAACUGUGAUAAAGCCUUGCGUUUAUUUUUGGUUUUGUGAUGUUGGCAGUAGGUGCACUUGAUUAUGUGGCCCUAUCGCCGGGAAGGCAAAAAUGUUUGCAUUUUGAACCAUUUCAUGUGUCUGAAGGUAGUACUCCGUCUACCUGGCAGCCCAGUGAUCAAAUCAAUAGCACCUAUAGGUCUAUCGCUGGCCAAUCAGAUAGAUCAGAUCACUGCGUCUGCUCAGUUUCCUCGAGCCAUAGACUGUAAAAACAAGCCCCGAACACAUAGCAAAAUGGAUACUUGACAUUUUAAAAACUUUUAAAACUGACUAGAGAGAGACUCAAAGAUUACAGCAAAGAGCUGCUGUUUUUAUGAAUUCCCAGUAAAACCGCUGUCUCAUGAGCCACAAUGUGCGCUGCUGAUCCUGAUGGCCAGCAUCAUCAUGAACUUCCUUCAACACAAGGCCUCUCAAAGACACAGCUUCAAGGACUCGCUCUCUCCUAGAUGGGCGUCGGACUCUAUCUACAAAGAACAUGACUCUGCUGAUGAUAGGAUCCAGUGACUGGUUAUCACACAGCUCCUUGUGUGUAAGGACAGGUCAAGGGCUCUGACCCAUGGACAUCAACUUCUCAAGAUGCUGCACAUGUGAAACGGCCCUCACUGUGGCACCAUCAUCCCAUCAGUGGUGAGCAUGGAGGACAGCAGACACCUCUUCACAGGAAACCAACCCACUGACAUUAUCUCCAGCUCUACACAACUCACUCCCAGGAGCCAUUGACGUUCUACAGCCAGCCUCAGGCUUUUCACAGGAGAGACGGAACAUGUCUUGUACAUCAUCCACUCAAAGACCUCUGGCUUCCUCCAGCAGGACAUCAUAUGGAAUUCUUGUCAGUCGGUGCAGAACUUUGGAGCGGACAAAUGGCUCUCUGCUCAAAGCAUCAGCAACGACAUUCUUGGGCCCUGGUAUGUACUGGAUAUCAAAAUCAAAGGGUGCCAGCUUUGCAACCCAUCUCUCCUCGCAUGCAUCAAGUCUCUGCUUUGUAAGAAUAUAUUUGAGUGGAUUGUUGUCAGUCCACACAGUAAACUUAUGCCCUUGCAGCCAAUGGCUGAAUUUAUUAUGAAUUGCCCAUUUCAUGGCUAGAAAUUCUCGCCGGUGAGCAGGAUACUUGGAUUGUGCAUGAUUAAGAGACUUCCCAUCUUGCACUUGGGUUAGUACAGCUCCCAAACCACUAGUAGAUGCAUCAACAGAAAGUAAAAAUGGCUGAGCAAAAUGUGGAUGAGCCAGCAGUGCCUGGUCAACUAGUGCUGCUUUCAAAGUUUCAAAAGCGAAUUGACAUUCGGCAGUCCAGUCUGCAGCAGUGAGCCUGCAAGAGGGACCAGGCCUCUUUCUGCCCUUGCCUCUCCUAGGCUUCUUCUGACAUGUAGUCAGCUGAAACAAUGGCCUAGCAACCAUGGAACAAUUCUCAAUGUAGUGUUGAUAGUAUACUACCAUACCAAGGAAGAACGGAUUGUGCUAGGGGAUGGAGUGACACCAUCAGCUUCCAUCAUCUCACUCUCAGUCACAUUUAAAAUUGUUUGAACCCUAGCAGGGUCAGUGGCUAUGCCCUCCUGAGAAAUAUGUGGCCCAAAAACUUAACAGACCUCAAAAACAUGCACUUAGACGGAGACAGUUUAAGAUUGUGCUCCUGCAACCACUGAAAAACCAUCUCAAGUCUCUGCAGACUCUCUUUCUCCGUCUUAGCAAAAACCAUCAGAUCAUCCAAAUAGCAAAGGAGACUUAGAAUGUUUUGGUCACCAAAGAUGGUCAGCAUCAUUCUCAUAAAAGUAGCUGGGCUGUUGCAAAGGUCUUGAGGUAAACGAUUGUACUCGUGCAGACCUAAAGGAAAGGAAAAGGCAGUGUAUUUCUUAUCCUCUCCAUGCAGUGGCACAUUGUAGUACACUGAGGUCAAGUCCAUUGUGCUGAAGAAGGCAUUACCUCCCAGCGCAGCCAGUACAUCAGCCUGAAGAGGCAGGGGAUGAGCAUCCUUUACUGUGUGGGCGUUUAACCACCUAAAGUCAGUAUAUAGACGCAAGUCCCCAUUCUUUUUCCAUACCAACACCAAUGGUGAGGCAUACUCACUGCUGGAUUUUCUGACUAUUUCCUUUUCCUCCAUAUUGUCCAGUGUUUCCCUGAGUUUGUGGUAAUGAACUGGAGAAAGCCUACGACAGGGUAAUCAAAAUGGGCAGUCAUCAGUCAGUCGUAUGCGAUGGCGGAACUCUUUUGCCUCUCCACAAUCCAGGCUAUGUCUAGAGAACACUGUGUCAUACUUCUCAAUUAAACCGACAAGUUUGUCUUUCCAGAACUGAGAAACUGGACACCCCUCAACAGACAGGCCUUGAAGUCUAAUAUUUCUCAGUGUACUGUUGCCAUUAACUACACUGCCACCAACUGAACUCUUAGCUGUAAAGACUGCCAUGUGAGCUGUCACAUUGUACUUUUGCCACGUUCUGGUAAGCUGCUUGCUGCUUGACAUCAUCAAAAUCCUCCAAUGCAAUGCAAGGAUACACCUCUGCCACUUUAGCAUUUGGUCUCAGGGUAACUGGCGAAGUUGUUGGAUUCACAAUCUUCAAAGGGAGCCACCCAUCUCCUCACAGAAGCGUAACUACUCUCCCUACUAGUAUGUGUCGAUUCACACAACGAGACUGGGCUCAACAACAGUACUGCCCACAGAGAGUUUUGUCUUUGGGGGUAGGCGGCCCCACACCAGAUGCUCACUCAUGGGUUGGGGUGUUACUGCUCUCUUCAACUUAAUGGUGCCCACUUUAUCUGGAAUGGAGUCUCCUCUCCAUCUCUCCUGAUUUGAUAGGAGACGCAGGAAGUGGCUGUCAUCACACUGGCCAGAAGGACCUGGCGUACCCACCACCCACCAGUAGCUGUCAUUCGAUUUGAACUGUCUAAUCAGAGACUUCAACACGUUCGUGCCCACAAUGAGUUCAUCAACCUGCCCAUCUACAAUAAGCACUGGGACUACAUAACUGAAGCCAUAAAGCUGUAUUUUUAAGUCACACAUGCCCACUUGGCUAGUUUGCGUCCCACCACAACCCACCAGGUUGAUGUCUGAAGGAGCUAGAAAGUUCCCCUCUACCACUCAUGCCUCCCUCAACCGAGGUACAAUAUCUGUGCGCAGAGUAGUAGCCAUGGAUCCACUAUCUAACAUCCCCUUUAGCUCAACUUUAUCCUGUACCAGCACGGUGGUGUAAAACAAGCUGUUAUUCUGAGUAAUUGUCAUUGUGUUCUGAAUAAUUACUGUGUUCUUGGGUACUGACUCACAAAAAUAAGAAUAAAUGGAUUGGAUAUCAUCAUCAGUGGAGGAAACAUUUGACCGCCCCACAUUGCCCUCAUCAGAAUGGAGGCUUUCUAGUUUUCCUGAGACCUGCCAGUCUGUCCAUCCCCAGGGCUCUUCCGCUUCUCAGUCUCACUACAGUCAAAGCUCAUGUGGCCAGGAGAGAAGCACUUGAAACACAGCUGGUGCAUCUGACAGUGAGCUCUGGUCCAGUGAUUAGUGCUUCCACAGACGGCGCACUCACGCUUACAUUUGGGAAACUGUUUUCACAGACUGAGUAUUGCUGAGAAGAGCCUUCUCAAACAAAUUCAAAACUUUCUCUAAUGUCCCACUCUCAGAUACAGAUGGGGCCUGUUCUGGUUCACGGCCACAUCGAGAAAACAAUGAUCUAUUAGGUCUGCUCACAGGAUCCACUUCCUCCUGGGGGGAGUCGGACAGCAGCCACCUGCUGUGAAAGUUGUGUUCUACAUGCUUUACGCUCUCUUAACAGUUCAUCCAAACGAUCCUGUACCUCACUGGCUGUCCAGUCACGAAGGGGUUUGCAUUUGAACACUUGGGCCAACUCUUUAUCAGAACAGUUGCGUACAAACAUGACUGCCAACUGAUUGCGCAUGGUUCUACCCUCACUUACAAGGUACUGUUCAGCUGCCUCUGCAGCUUUGUUAAGCCUAAUCCAGAAAUCUAGUGGACCCUCAUUAGCAUAUGGUUUCAUUGAAUAGAAAUCAACUAAUGGCAUACCUGAGCAGACAGUAUCCCCAAAGUGUUGCUUGAGAACACUGAACACUGCCUUAACAUCUGUGACAACAGGGUUGUUACGCAUCCAGACUUUGGUCACAUCCCGUGCCCUCCCCAUGAGCCUGGACAUCACUUCCCCAACAUUCUCAGACCCAGUGCAACCCCUCUUCUCUAGGUAGACUCCCAUUAGCUCCUCCCACUCCAGGACAGAGUACUUCUCUGUGCCAUCACCCCUAAAGAGAGGUGGAGCACUAACCUCUGACUUCACAACCAAAUUCAGCUUGGGCGCAUCAAUAAAAGUUGACCCACAUUCUUCAGGCAGGGGAAACUGCUUGGGUUGGUGAGGGGAAUGGGCAGGAGAAAGACUUGAAGUCCCAGGCUGCAGUAAACUCGCUCUGAUAGGAGAAUGUAUCUCUGAACCAAUCUGCUUAAUGAGGUCACUAAAGCUGACUCGGAGGUGUCCCAUUAUUACUGAGGACUAGGGAUGAUGGUACAUCAAAAGACAAGAGGUGGGAUACCCUGGUCAGGUGGAGUAAACAGCCUACCCCUCCCAGUGCUUGUAAACUCAGGACUAGCAAACACUACUCCCAGGAGCUGAUUGUACAAGUGGUGUAAAUGCAAGGACACCCCUCCCUCUACCCACACUAAAAUCGCCAGCAUAACUCAUUUUAUGGAGUUGAGUCUUCCAUGGCUCAUUAGAGCACUAAAAUACAAUGUAAUUUACUGCAGACAAAUACAAAAAAAAAAAGCAAUAAACAAAUUCCCUGAAAACAUGCAAAUUAACACCAAUAGCCUCAUCUAGUGAAUAUGCUACAUUCACCUUCACUAUUUACAGUAUACAUUCACUUAUAGCGAAUCAUCAAGUGCGCAGGCGCAGAUCGCGCAUCUCCUCCACAUACAUAGCUCCGGUGGUCGGCUUGGGCUGACCAGUCGGCAGGUCGCGGCACCAGUUUGUACGGUGGUUCGUUCUGCAUUGUGUACUUUUAAUUAGGACGCUGCCACAACUGAAGGUCUGCUAGUUGAAUUAUUUUUAUUUGCCCUGCACACGAAGAGACAACACACAUUAUGUUAACCCUUGGUGCAGUCCUAGCUCUCAGGCACCUUGCUAGCCGAAGGUCAGGCAAAAGAGAACAAUAAGGGGUCACGGAAAUACAGAUAACCCGCGAUGGGCCAAACCAAAAUAUACAAAACUUUUACAAUCACACGUAUGUACAAUAUUGAUAUGAAAAAGUGUUUGUACACCAAAGAAAAACAUUAGCUAUGCAGCUGUAAUUAACAAAAAAAACACACUGAAUUAUUAUUAUCAUCAAAUUAUUAACAUCCCCUCUUGACCUGGCCUAUUUGAAUUGGUCCUUGUGUGCAAUUUGGUGCAUAAUCUAGGGGAACAACAUCACACUGCUACACAGGCCAUCAGUCCAGUAAAACAGAAUAUAGAGUACCAGUCAAAAGUUUUAACACACCUACUCAUUCAAGGGUUUUUCUUUAUUUGUACUAUUUUCUACAUUGUAGAAUAAUAGUGAAGACAUCAAAACUAUGAAAUAACACAUAUGGAAUCAUGUAGUAACCAAAAAAGUGUUAAACAAGUGAAAAAAUACUUUGCACACUCUUGGCAUUAUCUCAACCAGCUUCACCUGGAAUGCUUUUUCAACAGUCUUGAAGGCGUUUCCACAUAUGCUGAGCACUUGUUGGCUGCUUUUCCUUCACUCUGCAGUCCAACUCAUCCCAAAGCAUCUCAAUUGGGUUGAGGUCAGGUGAUUGUGGAGGCCAGGUCAUCUGAUGCCGCACUCCAUCACUCUAUUUCUUGGUCAAAUAGCCCUUACACAGCCUGGAGGUGUCUUGGGUCAUUGUCCUGUUGAAAAACAAAUUAUAGUCCCACUAAGCGCAUACCAGAUGGGAUGGCAUAUCGCUGCAGAUUGCUGUGUGCCUUGAAUUCUAAAUAAAUCACUGACAGUGUCACCAGCAAAGCACCCCCCACAACAUCACACCUUCUCCUCCAUGCUUCACGGUGGGAAACCGUGCAUGUGUAUGCAGUGAUCAUCCGUUCACCAACUCUGCGUCUCACAAAGACACAGCGAUUGGAACCAAAAGUCUCAAAUUUGGACUCGUCAGACCAAAGGACAGAUUUCCACUGGUCUAAUGCCCAUUGCUCGUGUAACUUGGCCCAAGAAAGUCUCUUCUUAUUGGUGUGCUUUAGUAGUGGUUUCAUUUAGAGGUCGACCGAUCAUGAUUUUUCAACGCCGAUACCGAUUUAUUGGAGGACUAAAGACGCCGAUACCGUUUAAUCGGAAAAUUUUGACUUUAUUUUAUUAUUUAUUUGUAAUAAUGACAAUUACAACAGUACUGAAUGUACACUUAUUUUAACUUUAAUAUAAUACAUCAAUAAAAUCAAUUUAGCCUCAAAUAAAUAAUGUAACGUGUUCAAUUAGGUUUAAAUAAUGCAAAAACAAAGUGUUGGAGAAGAAAGUAAAAGUGCAAUAUGUGCUAUGUAAGAAAGCUAACAUUUAAGUUCCUUGCUCAGAACAUGAGAAAAUAUGAAAGCUGGUGGUUCCUUUUAACAUGAGUCUUCAAUAAGAAAGUAAGAAGUUUUAGGUUGUAGUUAUUAUUGGAAUUAUAGGACUAUUUCCCUCUAUACCAUUUGUAUUUCAUUAACCUUUGCCUAUUGGAUGUUCUUCUAGGCACUUUAGUAUUGCCAGUGUAACAGUAUAGCUUCCGUCCCUCUCCUCGCCCCUCUCUGGGCUCGAACCAGGAACACAACGACAUCAGCCACCCUCGAAGCAGCAUUACCCAUGCAGAGCAAGGGGAACAACCACUCCAAGGCUCAGAGCGAGUGAUGUUUGAAACGCUAUUGGCGCGCGCUAACUAGCUAGCCAUUUCACUUCGGUUACACCAGCCGCAUCUCGGGAGUUGAUAGGCUUGAAGUAAUAAACAGCGCAAUGCUUGAGGCACAACGAAGAGCUGCUGGCAAAACGCCCGAAAGUGCUGUUUGAUUGAAUGUUUACGUGCCUGCUUCUGCCUACCACCGCUCAGUCAGAUACUUAGAUACUUAGAUACUUGUAUGCUCAGUCAGAUGAUAUGCAACGCAGGACAUGCUAGAUAAUAUCUAGUAAUAUCAUCAACCAUGUGUAGUUAACUAGUGAUUAUGAUUGAUUGAUUGAUUGUUUUUUAUAAGAUAAGUUUAACUAGCUAGCAACUUACCUUGACUCACUGCAGUCGCGUAACAGGCAAGUCUCCUUGUGGAGUGCAACGAUAGAGAUGCAGGUCGUUAUUGCGUUGGACUAGUUAACUGUAAGGUUGCAAGAUUGGAUCCCCCGAGCUGACAAGGUGAAAAUCUGUCGUUCUGCCCAUGAACGAGGCAGUUAACCCACCGUUCCUAGGCCGUCAUUGAAAAUAAGAAUGUGUUCUUAACUGACUUGCCCAGUUAAAUAAUUAUUAAAUAAAGGUGUAAAAAAAACACAGAUUUCCGAUUAUUAUGAAAACUUGAAAUCAGCCCUAAUUAAUCGGCCAUUCCAAUUAAUCGGUCGACCUCUAGUAUAUUUGCAGCAAUUCGACCUUUUAGGCCUGAUUCACACAGUCUCCUCUGAACAGUUGAUGUUGAGAUGUGCCUGGUCUGCAAUAUGAGGUGCAGUUAACUCUAAUGAACUUAUCCUCUGUUUCUCUUCUGUUUACCACUCCUAACUUGUCACAGCACAACUGAUUGGCUUACACGCAUUAAGAAGGAAAGAAAUAACACAAAUGUAACUUAACAAGGCACACCCGUUAAUUUAAAUGCAUUCCAGGUGACUAUCUCAUGAAGCUGGUUGAGAGAAUGCCAAACGUGUGCAAAGCUAUCAUCAAGGGAAAGGCUGGGUACUUUGAAGAAUCUCAAAUAUAAAAUACGUUUUGAAUUGAACACUUUUGGUUACUACAUGAAUUCAUGUGUUAUUUAAUAGUUUUGAAGUCUUCACUAUUAUU